GGAUGUGAGGGCGAUCUGGCUGCAACAUCUGUCACCCAGUUGAUCAACAGAGUUGAUUUGGCUGAUCUGGCUGACUAUGCAGGUGUCCCCUUUCUCCCUUUCCACUCCAUGUGCAAACCUCCCAAAGCUGCAUGCUUAGUGGAAGAGGAUAACCUUCCCCAAUAGAGGAGGAUGUUCUUAGAUCAAGGGUAUAUGAGUAGCUGUACUCCCUGCUAGAACCUCCAAACAAGCUCUCUAUUUUUUUUUUGUUCCCCCUUUAAAUUUAUAAAUCAGUGUCAGAAUAUUCAUUAUCUCCUGAAAAUAAAGGAAGUUGGGAGUUUGGGUUCUAGGUGUGAUAAAGUGAAUUUUUU
rnacentral:snRNA from 1 species